GACGAACGCUGGCGGCGUGCCUAAUACAUGCAAGUAGAACGCUGAAGAGAGGAGCUUGCUCUUCUUGGAUGAGUUGCGAACGGGUGAGUAACGCGUAGGUAACCUGCCUUGUAGCGGGGGAUAACUAUUGGAAACGAUAGCUAAUACCGCAUAACACUGGAUGACACAUGUCAUUUAUUUGAAAGGGGCAAUUGUUCCACUACAAGAUGGACCUGCGUUGUAUUAGCUAGUAGGUGAGGUAAUGGCUCACCUAGGCGACGAUACAUAGCCGACCUGAGAGGGUGAGCGGCCACACUGGGACUGAGACACGGCCCAGACUCCUACGGGAGGCAGCAGUAGGGAAUCUUCGGCAAGGGGGGCAACCCUGACCGAGCAACGCCGCGUGAGUGAAGAAGGUUUUCGGAUCGUAAAGCUCUGUUGUAAGGCAAGAACGGAUGUGAGAGUGGAAAGUGCACGCUGUGACGGUAGCUUACCAAAAGGGACGGCUAGCUACGUG
rnacentral:rRNA from 1 species